rnacentral:rRNA from 1 species
GACGAACGCUGGCGGCGUGCUUAACACAUGCAAGUCGAACGGCAAGGCCUUUUCGGAGGCACUCGAGUGGCGAACGGGUGAGUAACACGUGGGUGAUCUGCCCUGCACUCUGGGAUAAGCCUGGGAAACUGGGUCUAAUAUCGGAUAGGACCGCCCGCUAGUGUGUGUGUUGGACAGUUUUUUCGGUGUAUGAUGAGCCCGCGGCCUAUCAGCUUGUUGGUGGGGUAAUGGCCUACCAAAGCGGCGGCGGGUAGCCGGACUGAGAGGUUAGUCGGCCACAAUUGGACUUAGAGACGGCCCAGACUCCUACGAAGAGCAGAUGGAGGGAGUAUUGCACUGUGGGCGUGAGCCUGAUGCAGGGACGCCGGGAGGGGGGAGACGGACUUCGAGUUGUAAUCUCCUUUCGCCAGGGACGAAGCGGUAUGAGACGUGACCGGGAGAAGAGGCACCGGCUAACUACGUG